CGCUGGCGGCGUGCUUAACACAUGCAAGUCGAACGGUGACGGAGAGCUUGCUCUCCUGAUCAGUGGCGAACGGGUGAGUAACACGUGGGCAACCUGCCCCAGACUUCGGGAUAACGCUUCGAAAGAGGUGCUAAUACCGGAUACGAACUCCUUGGGCAUCCUUGGAGUUGGAAAGUUUUCGGUCUGGGAUGGGCCCGCGGCCUAUCAGCUUGUUGGUGAGGUAACGGCUCACCAAGGCGACGACGGGUAGCCGGCCUGAGAGGGCGACCGGCCACACUGGGACUGAGACACGGCCCAGACUCCUACGGGAGGCAGCAGUGGGGAAUAUUGCGCAAUGGGCGAAAGCCUGACGCAGCAACGCCGCGUGAGGGAUGACGGCCUUCGGGUUGUAAACCUCUUUCAGCAGGGAAGAAGCGAAAGUGACGGUACCUGCAGAAGAAGCACCGGCUAACUACGUG
rnacentral:rRNA from 1 species